rnacentral:sRNA from 1 species
UCACUCCAAUUCCAGAGGAUACGGCCACCCUCACACAGACAUACAUUACGAUGGUCACGUGAGGAUCCAGACACACAAGGAGAACACCAUGUGAAGAUGGAUACUGAAUUGAAGUGCUGCCGUUGUGAGCCUUGGAAUGCCCCUGGCUGAAAAGGCAAGAGAUUUUCUCUAUAGGAUUGACAGGGAGCAGGCUCUGCCAACACACUAUAUUCCCGCUUCCAACCUCUGGGAAAUAGAUGUUUAUAGUCAUAAGCUACCCAGUUUGUGAGAACUGUGUUACCACAGCCCAAGGAAA